rnacentral:rRNA from 1 species
AGGGUUUGAUUAUGGCUCAGAACGUACGCUGGCGGCACGCCUAACACAUGCAAGUCGAACGAAGUAGCAAUACUUAGUGGCAGACGGGUGAGUAACAUGUAGGUAUCUACCCUUUGGCCUGGAAUAACACGAGGAAACUUGUGCUAAUACUGGAUAAGUCUUUACGGAGAAAGCUUUAUGCACCAUUGGAUGAGCCUGCACUUGAUUAGUUUGUUGGUGGGGUAAUGGCCUACCAAGACUGUGAUCAAUAGCUGAUUUGAGAGGAUGAUCAGCCACAUUGGGACUGAGACACGGCCCAAACUCCUACGGGAGGCAGCAGUGGGGAAUCUUGCACAAUGGAGGAAACUCUGAUGCAGCGAUGCCGCGUGAGUGAAGAAGGCCCUUGGGUUGUAAAGCUCUUUCGUCGGGGAAGAAAAUGACUGUACCCGAAUAAGAAGGUCCGGCUAACUUCGUGCCAGCCGCCGCGGUAAUAC